UUUCCUGUCUCCCACGUUUUAGUUCUUUCCCCUUCCCCACCUUCUCUGUUCUACGGUUUCACAUUUAAUCAUCGCCAGCCUCUCUCCCUUCUAACGGCAACCUCUCUGUUUUCCUUCCUUCCUGUCUUCCUCUCCUUACAAUAUAUAAAUACUGAUAGCAGCUAGACGAUUCAGUUGAGUGAUGCAAGGGCGCAAGUUGAUGGUGAAGAUACAGCAAUGAUGAACAUUAUCAGGUUUGAUGAUUGGGUCACCAUUAAAAUCUUAAACUAGACAAUGAUGGAAUCAACUAUGUUGAUAUGACAAAUUAGCUUUGGCGUUAUUGGCUCCAUCUGACGAAUCAGUACCUAGCGGCUCUAGAAAGAAGAAGUCCAAGUGAUCACUGCCAUGUUCAUGCAAUACAAAAAACACCAUUGUUUCUGCCAGAAAGGUGCUUUUGGAAGGAGAGAAAUGCUAAGAAACAAAGUCUGCAACAACAUUGAAACAGAUGAAAAAUUUUCCUAUUCUCAGGCAAAUCAUGGUCCUCACGGAAGCUUCAAAGUCUAAGAAAGGCAAAUGGAUUGGUGUUUCAUUUUAGUGUAAGAAUUUGAAAAAGUUCCAAUAUGUUUAUGGGCUGUCAAAGUUGAAAAGUGCAUAGGAAGAUUACUGCUAUAUUGUUAUCUUUGAGGGUUCUCCCUAUCAAAGUC